rnacentral:misc_RNA from 1 species
GAUGAAGAACGCAGCGAAAUGCGAUAAGUAAUGUGAAUUGCAGAAUUCAGAGAAUCAUCGAAUCUUUGAACGCAUCUUGCGCUCCUUGGUAUUCUGAGGAGCAUGCCUGUUUGAGUGUCAUUAAAUUCUCAACUACACUGACUUUGAAUUGGUGUGGCUUGGAUUUGGGGGGAAAAUUGUUGUGGGCUUUUUGUAUAGUCUGCUCCCCUGAAAUUGAUUAGCGGUACCUUUGUGGAACUGUCUACAGGUGUGAUAAUUAUCUACAUCUUAGACAUCUGCUGGAAUGCUGCUUUCUAAACCUUACUUGUAUUGACAAUCUUGACCUCAAAUCAGGUAGGACUACCCGCUGAACUUAAGCAUAUCAAUAAGCGGAGGA